GAUCCGGUGCUUGCACCGGGGAUUAGKGGCGAACGGGUGAGUAACACGUGAGUAACCUGCCCUUGACUCUGGGAUAAGCCUGGGAAACUGGGUCUAAUACCGGAUAUGACUCCUCAUCGCAUGGUGGGGGGUGGAAAGCUUUUGCGGUUUUGGAUGGACUCGCGGCCUAUCAGCUUGUUGGUGAGGUAAUGGCUCACCAAGGCGACRACGGGUAGCCGGCCUGAGAGGGUGACCGGCCACACUGGGACUGARACACGGCCCAGACUCCUACGGGAGGCAGCAGUGGGGAAUAUUGCACAAUGGGCGAAAGCCUGAUGCAGCGACGCCGCGUGAGGRAUGACGGCCUUCGGGUUGUAAACCUCUUUCAGUAGGGAAGAAGCGAAAGUGACGGUACCUGCAGAAGAAGCGCCGGCUAACUACGUGCCAGCAGCCGCGGUAAUACGUAGGGCGCAAGCGUUAUCCGGAAUUAUUGGGCGUAAAGAGCUCGUAGGCGGUUUGUCGCGUCUGCCGUGAAAGUCCGGGGCUCAACUCCGGAUCUGCGGUGGGUACGGGCAGACUAGAGUGAUGUAGGGGAGACUGGAAUUCCUGGUGUAGCGGUGAAAUGCGCAGAUAUCAGGAGGAACACCGAUGGCGAAGGCAGGUCUCUGGGCAUUAACUGACGCUGAGGAGCGAAAGCAUGGGGAGCGAACAGGAUUAGAUACCCUGGUAGUCCAUGCCGUAAACGUUGGGCACUAGUGUGGGGACAUUCCACGUUUUCCGCGCCGUAGCUAACGCAUUAAGUGCCCCGCCUGGGGAGUACGGCCGCAGCUAAACUCAA
rnacentral:rRNA from 1 species